rnacentral:lncRNA from 10 species
UCCAGCUCCCUUGCCUUAGGUUGGGACAACUCUGAGGUGUAAUUUACACACUAGAGCUCCCUGGCAGGACUUUGCUUGGCUUCUUCCCCUGCACUGCCCUGCUCCCCAGCUCCCAGGGGCACUGCCUUCAUAGACCACUUGCUUAUGAACUGUCAUCUCAGGCUCUGCUUCUGGAGAAUUGGAUCUAUGAUAGUGUGGUAUUCGAAGAACAGUCCUGAUGAUGAAGCAGCCACUGGUAAAUCUUGAGAGGGUGGAGUAGUGAGAAGCAGAUGUCAGCUUGCAAAGGGCUGAGGAGUGAGUGGAUGAUAAGGAACUGGCUGGAGAUGUCAGCAGAGGAUAUUCAAUCAAGAAGUUUGAUGGUGAGAAGCUCAAGAGAAUGACUGGGUAGUAUGGUCAAAUGAGGUCGCUUGUUUGGUUUUGGAUGAGAAGAAAUCUGAGCAUGUGGAUAGUCAGAGGGGAUGAAUUAAAUGAGAGGGGGAUACUGAAGGUAGGGGUAGAGGUAACUAUGGAGGGGGCAGUAGAGAAAGACCCCAGGAUGUAGAUAGGAGAUGAGGGUUACAAAGGAGCAGGCACGGUGUUUCCCUUGACAUACAUAGGCGGGGCAGAGCAAGAGAAUUGGCGGUGGAAAGUAACAAAAUGAGUAGUGAGGAUGGUCGAAGCCAGGGCUGGGA